CCGUUCUCACAUUCAUAUUGAUGUUAAUCUAGAUAGCAUUCAUUAACAUCAAUAUGAAUGUGGGAAAUG
rnacentral:misc_RNA from 1 species